rnacentral:rRNA from 1 species
GUGAGUAACCUGCCCUCUUCUUUGGGAUAACGCCCGGAAACGGGUGCCAAUACUGGAUAUUCACUUGCCUUCGCAUGGGGCUGGGUGGACAAGGGUUUUCUUCUGGUGCGGGAUGGGCUCGCGGCCUAUCAGCUUGUUGGUGGGGUGAUGGCUUACCAAGGCUUUGACGGGUAGCCGGCCUGAGAGGGUGACCGGUCACAUUGGGACUGAGAUACGGCCCAGACUCCUACGGGAGGCAGCAGUGGGGAAUAUUGCACAAUGGGCGCAAGCCUGAUGCAGCGACGCCGCGUGAGGGAUGGAGGCCUUCGGGUUGUGAACCUCUUUCGCUCAUGGUCAAGCCGCAACUCAUGGUUGUGGUGAGGGUAGUGGGUAAAGAAGCGCCGGCUAACUACGUGCCAGCAGCCGCGGUAAUACGUAGGGCGCGAGCGUUGUCCGGAAUUAUUGGGCGUAAAGGGCUUGUAGGCGGUUGGUCGCGUCUGCCGUGAAAUCCUCUGGCUUAACUGGGGGCGUGCGGUGGGUACGGGCUGACUUGAGUGCGGUAGGGGAGAC